CUGAAAACGGUCCAAACUCCCACUGGGCCAUUCCUUUGGAAUGCUGGUUGAAACUCUGCUGAUUUACAACCGGAAAGAAACCACGCACAACUCAAGUCAUUGUAGCUAUAGCCAUUCAACGAACUACCUUUCGCCCAAGACAAAUCGACUCAGAAGGCAUCUUUGUCAGCAUUACAAAACCAGUGCAUUCUUUUAUGACUUUUUUAUUAUUUCCCUUGUCAUGUGUUGUCAUUGGGGAAGGAAAAACAAAAUUCAUGCUCUGUUUCUGUUUCCUCUUAUGCCCUUAUCAAGGGAUCGAAAGCUUGGAAUUAAAGGAAGAGGAGGUUCAA